UACGGAGGGUGCAAGCGUUAUCCGGAUUCACUGGGUUUAAAGGGUGCGUAGGUGGGUCUGUAAGUCAGUGGUGAAAUCUCCAAGCUUAACUUGGAAACUGCCGUUGAUACUAUAGAUCUUGAAUGUUGUGGAGGUGAGCGGAAUAUGUCGUGUAGCGGUGAAAUGCUUAGAUAUGACAUAGAACACCAAUUGCGAAGGCAGCUCACUACACAAAGAUUGACACUGAGGCACGAAAGCGUGGGGAUCAAACAGG
rnacentral:rRNA from 1 species